rnacentral:rRNA from 1 species
AGUGAACGCUGGCGGUAGGCCUAACACAUGCAAGUCGAACGGCAGCACAGUAAGAGCUUGCUCUUACGGGUGGCGAGUGGCGGACGGGUGAGGAAUACAUCGGAAUCUACUUUUUCGUGGGGGAUAACGUAGGGAAACUUACGCUAAUACCGCAUACGACCUACGGGUGAAAGCAGGGGAUCUUCGGACCUUGCGCGAUUGAAUGAGCCGAUGUCGGAUUAGCUAGUUGGCGGGGUAAAGGCCCACCAAGGCGACGAUCCGUAGCUGGUCUGAGAGGAUGAUCAGCCACACUGGAACUGAGACACGGUCCAGACUCCUACGGGAGGCACCAGUGGGAAAUAUUGGACAAUGGGCGAAAGCCUGAUCCAGCCAUGCCGCGUGUGUGAAGAAGGUCUUCGGAUUGUAAAGCACUUUAAGUUGGGAGGAAGGGCAGUAAGUUAAUACCUUGCUGUUUUGACGUUACCAACAGAAUAAGCACCGGCUAACUUCGUG